rfam:Candidatus Burkholderia verschuerenii strain TZHbot4 BVERctg179, whole genome shotgun sequence.
UUUCUUCAAAUGUGAACAGAGCCUAGGAGGACAUGCGUCACUGGUAACGGUGGGGUGUGAAGCUUCUCUGACAACUUAGCCUCUCGGAUGUUUCGGGCACACCGGUCUGUGAGGAAGGGUGUGGUACUCCUAGCAGCAAGGGGGUACGGAG